UCGUAUUCCUCUCCAACUUUUUAAUUUUUAUUCUCAUUUGUUUUUUUCAUAACCUUUAAUUUAUUCAUCUUUUUGUUUCUAAUAUUCAUCUGAUCAUUUUUGUUUUAUUUUUCAUCUGGAUUUUGGUAGGCUUUCUUCCACUACAUCGGUUUUUAAGAGGUUGCCAUAUCCAGAGGCUAAGCUAACCAAAGGUCCAAAACUCAAAAGUCUAUACAGGUUGAAGAAACAAAAGAUUAGAGCUCCAAUGUUUCAAAGAUAAACAUGGAGUAAUUAUUUGCAUGGAAGUUAUUCUCAGGAUGAUAAGAUAUUACCAUCCCUCCACGAAGUGCAAAACAAAUGGAUAAUUCUAGAGAUGAGCUUGGAAGAUCGAAACUGUGGAGAAUAUAAGUGUAG